rnacentral:snoRNA from 1 species
ACGACCUUACUUGAACAGGAUCUGUUCUAUAGGCUCGUACCUCGGUAUCCUUGAGCUCUAAGGAGACAGGAAACUAAGAUACUCA